rnacentral:rRNA from 1 species
UACGGAGGAUCCAAGCGUUAUCCGGAAUCAUUGGGUUUAAAGGGUCCGUAGGUGGACAAUUAAGUCAGGGGUGAAAGUCUGCAGCUCAACUGUAGAAUUGCCUUUGAUACUGGUUGUCUUGAAUUAUUAUGAAGUAGUUAGAAUAUGUGGUGUAGCGGUGAAAUGCAUAGAUAUCACAUGGAAUACCAAUUGCGAAGGCAGAUUACUAAUAAUAUAUUGACACUGAUGGACGAAAGCGUGGGGAGCGAACAGG